rnacentral:rRNA from 1 species
GACGAACGCUGGCGGCGUGCUUAACACAUGCAAGUCGAACGGAAAGGCCUGCUUUCCGUUGGGGGUUGGGGGUGCGCGCGGGGCGAACGGGUGAGUAACACGUGAGUGAUCUGCUCCCAACUUUGGUAUAAGCUGGGGAAACUGGGGCUAAUGACCGACAGGACCGCAGGGUGGUGCGGGUGGUGGAAAAGGAUUUGCUUGGGGUCGGGGAUGAGCUGGCGGCGUAUCAGCUUGUUGGUGGGGGAAUGGUCUACGAAGGCGGCGACGGGUAGGCGGUCUGGGAGGGUGGACCGGCGCGUUUGGACUGCGAUACGGCCCCGACGCCACCGGCCAGCAGCAGUGGGGAGUCUUGCGCGGUGGACGGUAGCCUGAUGCAGCGACGCUGCGUGGGCGAUGCCGGGCUUCGGAUUGUAACCUCCUUGCGACCACGAGGAAGCCGCCUGGUUGAAGGGGUGGUGACGGUAGUGGUAGAAGAAGCACCGGCUAACUACGUG